CUGUUGAUUGAAUUAGAAGAGGAAGAGUGGCGGCACGCGUGAAUCUUUUCAACGUUCCCGGGACAGGUGGGAGUAGGUUUUCAUCAGACCGUAGGUAGAUCUGGUCCGAAUGCUUGCAAUAGACCGGAUUCCGUAAUAUAAGGCACCUAAAGUGCCAAGCAGUGGUGGUGUCAACAAACCGGGCGACGGAUCAAGUUGUCAGCUAAAUUGUCAACUCAACGAAUCUGUUGUGAUUAUGGGCUAUGGGAAAUAUAUUAGACAUGAAUUGUCCGAUCGAGCAGUCCUAAUGUCUAAGGCCACAGAAUCCAGUAUGCCGUGUGUGUGUGUUGAGGUGGCUGCUAUUUCUAAGAUCAAGCGCCCAUGUAAAGACUCGUUCGUUGGCUCGAUUUAUUGGGAUUUUGAGACGGUUGAUACCCCUCACCUACAAUGUAUUCUUUCAUAUUCAAACAAGAAAUAAAUAAAGUGUCUUUAUUUUUUUUUUAGCGGUUCUUAAAUGCUCAGCUAAAAGAAAGUGUCUUAGAGGUUGUUGGAAUUUAACUGACAUUCAUGUCAGUAAAAUUGAUUCUAAUGACCAAGCAUUCGGUAAUACGACGCUGUCUUAUAAUAAACAACGUAACAGUGGACACCUUAAUUUAUUAAAUGAAAUUUAACCACUGGAUGAUGUGGUGAUGAGGGCAUUCUUGAUUUUUGUAGGUGGAGAUAUCCAGGAAGACAUUAAAUGUAUUUUCUUUUUAAGACGACCGCUCGACUUGCUAGAAAUAGUAUCCAAAAUGCUUUCCUAUCACACCCUAUGAAGUAGGGAUAUCCUUGUUGGUUCGUAGUGUAUGACGGCAUUUUUGUUGAAUGAGUGAAGAAUGUUGCCCGGCUGGGACGAGCGAUGAUGAAUUCUGUAUUAGGUCGCCUCUUAUAACAACUCCGAAUGUUUUAAAAUGACUCUGUCACGCCGUGAAUAUUUGAAUUUUAAAUACGCAACACAUCCGAGUUCGCACACACAUACACAGAGAGAAAGUGAGCCUCGCUACAUAGCCGUUCAGCAUGCUAGAAAUGGCAGCUAAAUUUCCCAUGGCCCACGUAUUGCCAUCUUAAGAAAGAAAAAAACUGUUUUGAAUAUAUUGUCUGAAAAUAAGAUGAGAUGAUCAUAAUUGAAGCGGAUUGGUCACAUCUAUUUGGUCAGAAUUGACCUGUGACCACUUAAAUAACAACAAAAACGCUCAUUCACAUGUAGUGUUAAAGUAAAUGGAUUUGGAUCUCCGUCAGUUUCAACGAUGAUUGUUCCAGUUAUUCAAUCAACUGAAUAAAAGUAUAUGUGGUUGAUUGAACAUUUUACAUGCAUUUGUACCUUUAUUUGUACUAAAUCCCAGGUGGAAUUUACGCUCUUUGAAUCACAGGUACAGUGUCCCCUUGACAGAAUCAGUGUGUCAGUGUAACUGGACGGAAAUUUUUGCAUUACACACACGUAAGGUCCAUCGGACUCCUUUCUGCAAUUUCGGCACCCCAUGAAUUCUCUCAAAUCAGAACUAUCGUCCUUUAAAAACCGCCACAAAAAAAUGAUAAAA